UUCCAACCAAAGAUAGAUAAGAAAAGCCGGCCAGCGGUCCUUGCCUGGCUGGAGAGCCAAAGCCUGCGCCCCUCGACGGGGCGGCCCGGAUGUCACAUACCCUGAUGUUUGGUGAUACUGAUCUCUCUCCAGCCAAUGCCACUUUCACCAUUGCCUUGGGAUCUGGCACGAAGAAGCACUGCCUCCUCUUUCCCAGGACAUCACAAACUCUGGCUCUUCCCGUCAAAGUCUCCUUCCAGCACAGUUAAGACCAGGGCUACAUAACAAUAUUAGAAUGAAAGAGUAAUCCAGAGUAAACUGCGGGCAUGACAUGGCUACUCUCAAAACCCUCAUGGACUAGAGGUCUGCCUUAUUGUUGAGCUUGCAGCCAGGGUCCAUGUGGCUGGCGACAGACCCCAUCGAGAGUUCCCCUGACCAUGUCUUCAUGGCUCAACCGCUCAGAGAAGAAAACAACUCUCUUCACCCAGUUUAAGGUCCAUUUUCAAAGUCCCACUUUCUGUCCCAGUUUCUGAUUUUCCAUAGGAUAACUGGCCAUGGGAAUAUCUACUCCUUUAGAGGAAACCCCAGGAGCUCCAGUGGCGCAAUCGGUUAGAGGAAACCCCACCUCCCAUCCUGAGGAGUGUGACAUUAAUCUUUGACCAACUGGACCAUUACCUUCAGAACAUAACAGUCCAAACCCAGCACAUAUCUCACAAAGUCUGAGUUAAUCUUUAUAGGUAGGUCCAGAUAGAGCCUCACCAAAGCCAGUCCAGUCCCUUUGCAUAAUUAGUUCUCCAGUAAGCAGUAAGGAUCAUGCCUGUCCUUGUUUGACUGUAUCUUUUAGAGCUCAGCUUUUGUUCUUCUAAGAGCAAGGGCUGAAACAAGGACAUUCGCAACUCCACAGAAACAACACAUAUGUGGUCUACAUCCAUAGAGAGAAAACAAACAGUUUUUCUCUUCUACAUCAAUGUCGGUGGAAGCAAUGCUCCUGCUCCACACACAAAGGUUUGCAUAUCGAAAUGGAGAGAGCACUCUGCUUCACAAACUAAAGCAUCUACACUCAAGUUACAGUUUUCCAACAGUAAUAAAUGCAUACUUGCUUUAAUAUGAGUAGUUAAA